rnacentral:rRNA from 1 species
AUACGAAGGGUGCAAGCGUUAAUCGGAAUUACUGGGCGUAAAGCGUGCGCAGGCGGUUUUGUAAGACAGAGGUGAAAUCCCCGGGCUCAACCUGGGAACUGCCUUUGUGACUGCAAGGCUAGAGUACGGCAGAGGGGGAUGGAAUUCCGCGUGUAGCAGUGAAAUGCGUAGAUAUGAGGAGGAACACCGAUGGCGAAGGCAAUCCCCUGGGCCAGUACUGACGCUCAUGCACGAAAGCGUGGGGAGCAAACAGGAUUAGAUACCCUGGUAGUCCACGCCCUAAACGAUGUCAACUGGUUGUUGGGUCUUCAUUGACUCAGUAACGAAGCUAACGCGUGAAGUGGACCGCCUGGGGAGUACGGCCGCAAGGUUGAAACUCAAAUGAAUUGACGGGG